rnacentral:rRNA from 1 species
UACGAAGGGGGCUAGCGUUGCUCGGAAUCACUGGGCGUAAAGCGCACGUAGGCGGCUUCUUAAGUCAGGGGUGAAAUCCUGGAGCUCAACUCCAGAACUGCCUUUGAUACUGAGGAGCUUGAGUCCGGGAGAGGUGAGUGGAACUGCGAGUGUAGAGGUGAAAUUCGUAGAUAUUCGCAAGAACACCAGUGGCGAAGGCGGCUCACUGGCCCGGUACUGACGCUGAGGUGCGAAAGCGUGGGGAGCAAACAGGGAUUAA